rnacentral:rRNA from 1 species
UACGGGGGGAGCAAGCGUUGUUCGGAUUUACUGGGCGUAAAGGGCGCGUAGGCGGUCAGUGCAAGUCAGUUGUGAAAUCUCCGAGCUUAACUCGGAAAGGUCAACUGAUACUGCUCGACUAGAGUGCGGAAGGGGCAACUGGAAUUCUUGGUGUAGCGGUGAAAUGCGUAGAUAUCAAGAGGAACACCUGCGGCGAAGGCGGGUUGCUGGGCCGAACCUGACGCUGAGGCGCGAAGGCUAGGGGAGCAAACGGG